GUGGGGAAUAUUGGACAAUGGGCGAAAGCCUGAUCCAGUCAUGCCGCGUGUGUGAAGAAGGUCUUCGGAUUGUAAAGCACUUUAAGUUGGGAGGAAGGGCAGUAAGUUAAUACCUUGCUGUUUUGACGUUACCAACAGAAUAAGCACCGGCUAACUUCGUGCCAGCAGCCGCGGUAAUACGAAGGGUGCAAGCGUUAAUCGGAAUUACUGGGCGUAAAGCGCGCGUAGGUGGUUCAGCAAGUUGAAGGUGAAAUCCCCGGGCUCAACCUGGGAACUGCCUCCAAAACUGCAUGACUAGAGUACGGUAGAGGGUAGUGGAAUUUCCUGUGUAGCGGUGAAAUGCGUAGAUAUAGGAAGGAACACCAGUGGCGAAGGCGACUACCUGGACUGAUACUGACACUGAGGUGCGAAAGCGUGGGGAGCAAACAGGAUUAGAAACCCUUGUAGUCC
rnacentral:rRNA from 1 species